UAUAGCAUCAGCCAGUCUAGCGCGUUCUAACCACUAUCGCUUUCGUCUUGUAAAAGUUUAAUAAAUGCGACUGUGAAUUAGGGCCAGUAGACUAGAACUAUAAAUUGACCCGGCGUCGACGCGUAGCCGCUCACCAUUAUGGUUCUAUUGGUUCUCAUCGAAGUAUCUAAAUGGUUCUAUUGGGGUUCUCUUCGAGAUAUCAAAAUAUUAUUUGGAAUUUACCACCCGUGUGGAGCCUUGAAUGCGACUCUAAAUUGGAUCAGUCACACCGGGCGAUCACUCUCCUGGAGAGCUCUUAUGGCUCUCAUGUGAUAACUAACUCGCCUUCCCUAAGUCUUCGCCUAACUCGCCUUUCUCAGAAUCUUCUGAAUCGGGAUCCGUGGUUGCGUCUGUUGGCAGUAGCACUU
rnacentral:lncRNA from 1 species